GCAAACUUGGUCAUUUAGAGGAAGUAAAAGUCGUAACAAGGUUUCCGUAGGUGAACCUGCGGAAGGAUCAUCUCUGUAUCAACUUUCACAUAAACACCCGGGUUUUAAAGUGGACUCAGGUCUACUUUCAUUACCCAGUGUUUGCAAACAAAAAACACCAUGAAAAACCGCUUUUUAGUGUCUGAAUUAUAACUAGUAAUACAAAAACAACUUUCAACAACGGAUCUCUUGGCUCUUGCAUCGAUGAAGAACGCAGC
rnacentral:misc_RNA from 1 species